UCCGCCCCUCGUCCCUCUCCCUGCUUCCAGCUCCCGCGGUCUGUCCCCCCCACCUCUCUCCAGACCCCUCUCCCUUCCUUCACCUCUGCUCUCGGUCCUUCCUUAGCUCUCUCCGGUCCUUUUUCCUCUUAUUCCCCGGUCCCUACUUUCCCCCUUACUUUUCUUCAACUCUUCCAGACGCUCUUUCCUCACUCCCGCUGCCCCUUUGCGUCCCUGGCUCCUUCUGCCUUUAUAUACCUGCCUUGGAUUCCAAGGCUCCCAGCGCCUACCCCCGCGCAGACCGCCUCCGGUCCUCUGUCCCUCCCACGACCUUAGGAGACAUCCACCAACAUCAGGCUCGAUCUUGCCUCUGGUCCAAGUUGAUUUGGAUCACUGUCUCCAUUUUGCUCCCGGGAGCAAAUCCCAUCCAAUUCCUUGAGCGUGGGCGUUUUUGACUCUUUAGAAUCUUGAUCUAGAGCCACGAACCUCGUUUCUUGAUCCUUGAAGGGAUCCAGCCUCAGAGACCUUGGCUGCUAGCUCUCUCUGUAGAUGGGCUUUCCCCCUCUCACCAGCUCAUGGCAGCCUGGAAGCAUCCUCUCUGCUCCAGUUCUUUCGGGAGGAGACACCCAGUGUCUCUGGAGCCACAGAACCACGGCCAGAGAUAAUACCUGCCCACUUCAUUUCUGCCUGCUCUGAGAUGGACUUCUUUUUCGUGGGCUAUCUCCACGCCUGAGCGACUGAAGGCCUCCUGGAUCAAUAAGGCCUUUGCUGUGGCACCUGCUCUGCCAAGUGAUUAUUGCCUUUGAAUAAAGCAAGCCCCCAGUGAUAAAUCAAAGUAAUGAUUUUCUACUGUGCAAGUUUCUCUGGUGGCCAUCGAGGGUCAACAACGAACCAGGGCUCCACACCAGUCAGCAUCUGAGGCUUUGUGUUUUCCAGGGCUCUCUGGAGUCACAGAUGUUCACUCCAAGAACGACAGGCAGGCUCUCAUUUUUCUAAAAGAGGAAUCCUCAGGACUAAUGUACUAAGAGUGAAAGAUGCACAUGUAUCGUCUGCAUGGCAAGGUGCAAUACCCCUGUCCCACCGACGCCCUUGGGGCUAUGUCAGAGACAGAAAACCGUGCCGCACCAGCCCAGGAUAGCUAUCCUUAUGUCCUGAUGCUAUGAAAUAUUAAUGAUUCAAGAGAUUAUGAGGCAUUCAUUAGAUGCUAAAUGUCAUCACUCUGUGAUUUAAUGGGACUUAUUAAUUAGUGCCCCCACAUCAAUUGAUAUUAAGGUGAUUUAUCUGCCUCCUAUGGAAUGGCAUCUGUAAAGGUAGAAUGAGAAGCCACUGAGAUUCAUUUUCAUUGCUGCGUAUGCUCAACAUCUUCAGGGGAUAUUUUUCCUGUGGAAGAGCUUGUACCUCUUCUGAGCUAUUUCAUUCACAGAUCCCUUAAGCAAAUCUUGGUCAUAUCAGACCCCCGUGUCUGUUUCUGCUGACCUGCCAGUGUGAAUUAUUGCUUGGAUUUUCUCACAGCCUCAGCAAGAACUGUGGUGAGCUCUGGGUCUAAUUAAGGAAGACAAAGAAUUACAAUUUUAGUGUUCUUCUCACAAUCAGCUUUCCUUUAACAGGAAGCAGGAAACCCGGCAGAGGCAUCUUACCAGGAUUUACACAGAAAUGAUGGGACUUAGAAGGUUUCUUUUAUUUAUAUUCUAUAAUAUGUGGAAGAUCAUAGAUCUUUCCGGAUAUUCAGAGUCCCUUUCACUGUGAGCCCAAUUGGUAUCUGAAAUUAACAGGGUGCCCCGUGUCUUUUUGUAUUGAAAAGAAGUCUCUUAAGAUAGUUACGACAAAUCUGGAGACUCUCAAACGUUGUCAGCCCUUUAGUGUGUCUUCAUCAUGUCCUCACCUCCUGAUGUACUACAAGACACAAAUACUCCGCCACAUUUCAUAGCCCUGUGACCAUCAUCACACUAACCCUGUCCCCGAGUGGAGAAGGACAGCAGAAACCCUUUUCAGUCACGGCAAUGCGACUUAAAAGAACAUAGUGUUCUGUCUUGUUUCCCUGGAUGGAACUCUUUGAUCAGACCCUUCUUGGGAACUAGCGUCAUCCUUGGGGUUCAUUUACGUCUCUGUUUAAAAUCAAGCCCAGCAUAUAAUCUAAAGGUUGCUCCAUGAUGGAUUGCCUUUGACAGUAUUUCAUAAAAAAAUGUCACACAUUACAAAUACGGGCCAGCAGUGUGUAAUGAGAGUGCUGCCUCUGCUGGUGCUGCAUUAGCGGCGUCGGAGAAAAGUGACAUGUGAUGUGUAUACUGGCUUCGCUACAGCAGCUGUACAUUGCUUCAUCCACGUUUUCGACAUCCCUCCAUUGGAUAUUUCCAGUGAUGAGUUAUCAUCCACCAACCACUGCUGUUAGAAAGGGAGGGAUACAGAGACGAGAAAAGGGUUCCCAUCUCCACGCUGUUUCCAGUCUGGUGGCAAGAAAAAGACCCGUGCCCAGAACUAGAGCUACUAGCAUCAGUAUCAGCAUCAGCAUCUCAGCAUCAGCAUCAGCAUCAGCAGCAUUGUUCUUAUUAUCCAAGUCUUCCCAGUAAGGAACCUGGAGAAGCACAGAGGCUUGUCGCUCACAAGAAGCAGGAGGCACAGUGGGACCACAGCUGAAGGAAAUAGCUUCUUGGCAGGCCUCUCUUCUCUCCCCCUUCUGGUGUGAGCACUGCCCGAGCCAAACAGAGCAAUGCCAUGUGUCCUGGGAGCGCCCGAGCAACAUCAAUUCUAUUAGACUGAAAAUGGAACCGAGUGCAGAGUCCAGCCGGCGAGAGGCUUGCUGGGGUCUUGGCAGCAAAGGACGGGCAGAAACAGGCAUAAGGAGCCAGAGCACAAGCCAGGCCAGCUGCAAACCCGAAGGUCUUGUGUCCAGGCUGACAGGUGCCAGUCGUGCUGGUAAAUGGAUCACAGGACCUGCAGGAUUCGUUCCCCAACCUGCCCUGUGAUGUCCUUCAUGCUCGGCUCUGUCCCACCUGCCCUCUGAACUCCCUGCUCCUUCAUUUCAGCCCGCUUCAGCCUCUCACCUCUGUCUGCUUUUUCUUCGAAACAACAACCUACCCCUUCAUAUCCGGGUUGCGGCAUUUCUUAUUUGGUAACGCUUAAAUGGCUUCUCUUAAAAUAAUGAGUGUCAAGGUCCCUCUGGCCUGUCUUGGGGACCCACUUCUGUGGCAGUUUCCAUUGGGGAGCCCAGGCACUCUCCUUUGGUCCUUGAAUAUAGGGGAGUCAGAAUCGCUCUCAGGUCACAAUCCUCAAAUGAUGUAGUGGAAUCAGACAUAGCUCAAUUUGUGAAUACACAGAACCUCAGCCCAAAGGGAGGAACACAGGAGCAGAAGACGCACAGAGAAGGGACAGUUACAGUGUCAGGCAGCCGGCUACUGGUUGGCAGUGGGCACUGAAGGCCUGGCAAUCAGGACGUGCUCAGGAACCAUACCCGGCCAUGUCACUGGGCAUUGAUACAGACUAACUCCAAAUGAGAGGCUCCUAUGCUUCCUACCAGGGUUGAUCUCAGAACUGUGGUGGGCAUGGAGUUGGAACCUAGCUUUACCAAGAGACAGAGGGUGCAGUCAAAAGAAAGGUGGACGGAAGACAUGGUGAUGUGGAUACUUCCUGGAGAAGGUGUAGCCUUUGAAAUUAUUCUGUGUGAUGGAAAAAAAAAUUGCUCUUUCUUUCCACUCACAUAAUGUUUUAGAGAACUUGGGGGAAGGAAAAAAAUGUUGGCAUAGUUAGCAAUUUUAGGUUUUUCCAAACUAAGCAGAAAAUAUUUUUGAUAGCAACCAUUCCCCUCCUCACAAAGAUCAUGUAUCUACCACAGGAGUAUACCUGGUUUAAAGAUAAAGAAUAAGUACCCCUUUGGGAAGGUCCAAAUAGGGUCUCAAACCUUUCAAUAGAAAAGCCCAGGCCAAAGAGGCCGGCUGAGUACAGGGGUAACAUUUGAACUCAUUCACCAAGAUCAAAAGGUCUCCUCCCAAAUGUGUGUCUAUAAUUUAAUCCUCCCCGACACGUAAUCUGGUUUGCUAUUGUAAAUCAAUGCAAAAUCACGACAGCAAAUACUUAAAUAUAUGCUUCAA